rnacentral:rRNA from 1 species
CUGUCCAUAUCACCCUGAACACACUUGAUCUCAUCUGAUCUCAGAUGCUAAGUAGGGUUGGGCCUGUUUUGUAUUUGGAUGGGAACUUCAACAUAUGAAUUGAGGGGAUAGAUACA